UGAGCAAUCUGCCCUUCUCUUCGGAAUAAGCGUUGGAAACGACGUCUAAUGCCGAAUACGACCUCCUUUCGCAUGAUCGGAGGUGGAAAGCUCCGGCGGAGAAGGAUGAGCUCGCGGCCUAUCAGCUAGUUGGUGUGGGUAAUGGCCCACCAAGGCGACGACGGGUAGCCGGCCUGAGAGGGUGACCGACCACACUGGGACUGAGACACGGCCCAGACUCCUACGGGAGGNAG
rnacentral:rRNA from 1 species